GAUGAACGCUAGCGAUAGGCUUAACACAUGCAAGUCGAGGGGCAGCAUGGUCUUAGCUUGCUAAGACUGAUGGCGACCGGCGCACGGGUGCGUAACGCGUAUGCAACUUGCCUCACAGAGGGGGAUAACCCGUCGAAAGACGGACUAAAACCGCGUACACUUGGGAUAGGGCAUCCUGACCCAAGGAAAUGAAAUUCGCUGUGAGAUAGGCAUGCGUCCCAUUAGCUAGUUGGUGAGGUAACGGCUCACCAAGGCGACGAUGGGUAGGGGAACUGAGAGGUUGAACCCCCACACUGGUACUGAGACACGGACCAGACUCCUACGGGAGGCAGCAGUGAGGAAUAUUGGUCAAUGGGCGAGAGCCUGAACCAGCCAAGUCGCGUGAAGGAUGACUGUCUUAUGGAUUGUAAACUUCUUUUAUACGGGAAUAACAAGAGUCACGUGUGGCUCCCUGCAUGUACCGUAUGAAUAAGCAUCGGCUAACUCCGUG
rnacentral:rRNA from 1 species